GCGGAAGUGCUGGAACUGGCAGACAGGCUAGACUAAGGAUCUAGUGAUAGCAAUAUCGUGAGGGUUCAAGUCCCUUCUUCCGCA
rnacentral:tRNA from 1 species